ensembl:lncRNA
CAGAAGUUACUCCAAGGAGAUCUGGAAACUGCUUUUCACCAAAGCAAAUGAUGUUCUGGACGGAGCCCUCGUCAUCUUCUCCAGCGCAGCAGCAAAUAUGUCUCAGCCAAUCAGAGGUGAUGUCGUGUCCCAAGUGCUGGAUGUGAUUGGAGAGCUGAGACUGGAGCGCAUCAGUCCUGACCAAUGGCGAGACCUCCCUUUCAUCAGCAUGUUGUUGGGUCAAUAUCUGAAGCCGUUUUUACCGUUUGCGUCAUCGUCCCUACUGCUGUGCACUAGCAGCAAAAACCUCAGCUGCCAAACUUACCAGCACAUUCUGUCAGAGGUCACACUCGUCAAUGAGACUCAAGGAAGAAACAUGGUGAACUUCUUCAUUCUGCCCUUCCUCAGAAGAAACACAACAGAUGCGGGCUGUGUGUCGACUGCUAACAACAGUGUUGAGUGGCUGCAGAAGAACUUUGGCCCGUUCUCUCAGUUUGUGCCUCUCACAGAUCUGCUCUCCAUCAACAGACUCUUUGAUCCCUUGGAGACCCUGGACAAUCUCACUCCAAAGCAGGUGGCUGGACUGAUGGUUGAAGAUCUACCUGGUCUACCAGAGAAGGAAGUCGUCAUCAAUUCAGUGUUCGACUAUCUGCUUGUGUCUCCUGUGGAGCGAGGACUUCCUGAUGUUCUUCAAAACCUGCUCUCAAUCUCACAGAUGGUAAAAUUUACA